UACGUAGGGGGCUAGCGUUGUCCGGAAUCAUUGGGCGUAAAGAGCGUGUAGGCGGAUCGUUAAGUGUCUUGUGAAAUCCCACGGCUCACCCGUGGAACUGCUGGGCAUACUGGCGAUCUUGGGCCAACUAGGGGCAGUCGGAACAAGCGGUGGAGCGGUGAAAUGCGUAGAUAUCGCUUGGAACGCCGAAGGUGAAAACAGACUGCUGGGGUUGCGCCGACGCUGAGACACGAAAGCCAGGGGAGCAAACGGG
rnacentral:rRNA from 1 species